UACGUAGGGGGCAAGCGUUGUCCGGAAUUAUUGGGCGUAAAGAGCGCGUAGGCGGUCCGAUAAGUCGGCUGUGAAAGUCAUGGGCUCAACCCAUGAAAGCCGGCCGAUACUGUCGGACUAGAGUCCGGAAGAGGCAAGUGGAAUUCCCGGUGUAGCGGUGAAAUGUGCAGAUAUCGGGAGGAACACCAAUGGCGAAGGCAGCUUGCUGGGACGGUACUGACGCUGAGGCGCGAAAGCGUGGGGAGCAAACAGG
rnacentral:rRNA from 1 species